rnacentral:pre_miRNA from 1 species
ACACGUCAUCUCUCAUCAUCUACUCACUCUGUCUGUCUGUCUGUCUGUCUGACAUGAGAGAUGAUGUGUACAAAGUUUGUGUCAGACAGACAGACAGAGAGAGUGAGUAGAUGAGAGAUGACGUGUA